rnacentral:rRNA from 1 species
ACGGGUGAGUAAAGCAUCGGAACGUACCCGGGAGUGGGGGAUAACGUAGCGAAAGUUACGCUAAUACCGCAUACCCUGUGAGCAGGAAAGCGGGGGCUCGCAAGACCUCGCGCUUUCGGAGCGGCCGAUGUCGGAUUAGCUAGUUGGUGGGGUAAAGGCCUACCAAGGCAACGAUCCGUAGCGGGUCUGAGAGGAUGAUCCGCCACACUGGGACUGAGACACGGCCCAGACUCCUACGGGAGGCAGCAGUGGGGAAUUUUGGACAAUGGGCGCAAGCCUGAUCCAGCCAUGCCGCGUGAGUGAAGAAGGCCUUCGGGUUGUAAAGCUCUUUUGUUGGGAAAGAAAAGAUUCGGGCUAAUACCCUGGAUUAAUGACGGUACCCAAAGAAUAAGCACCGGCUAACUACGUGCCAGCAGCCGCGGUAAUACGUAGGGUGCAAGCGUUAAUCGGAAUUACUGGGCGUAAAGCGUGCGCAGGCGGUUGUGUAAGUCAGAGGUGAAAUCCCCGGGCUCAACCUGGGAACUGCCUUUGAGACUGUGCAACUAGAGGAUGGCAGAGGGGGGUAGAAUUCCACGUGUAGCAGUGAAAUGCGUAGAGAUGUGGAGGAAUACCGAUGGCGAAGGCAGCCCCCUGGGCUAUAACUGACGCUC